rnacentral:lncRNA from 10 species
CGCCAAUCUCCAUGGAGACGGGACGCCGUUCGAGAAGAGGCGGAACUUUCAAAACCCCCGGGCGGAGAAAGGGCGUGGCGAGUGGUGCCUGGGAGCCGGCGUUGAACCGGCGGGAUGACUAGCAACCGAGCCUUUUUCGAGGUUCUUAGAGAUGAUUUUAACAGCACUGGCUUGACAGUGUCUUUGCCUCAGAGAUUUUCUUCAUUUUCCCACCAGCUCAGUCAUGCAUAUCAAAAGAAGUUUAUGCACAAUUGAAGGACACCAACUAAAAUUUGAACAAAUAAGAGAUUUGUAACUGGGGAUCCCCUGGAAGAAUCGUCUGGAAAUUACGACCUUCAUCUGGCGAUUGCAGCUGUUAAAGUCUCCAAAGAAGCCAUUCUUACAUUGUGUUGUGAAAUUAUUACUCUAUCUCAAAUCUGUGCCAGAAAGAAAAUAAAAUGUGUGUUUAUGUGUAUAUUAU